rnacentral:rRNA from 1 species
UACAGGGGGGGCAAGCGUUGUUCGGAAUUACUGGGCGUAAAGGGUCUGUAGGUGGCCAACUAAGUCAGACGUGAAAUCCCUCAGCUUAACUGGGGAACUGCGUCUGAUACUGGAUGGCUUGAGUGUGGGAGAGGAAUGCGGAAUUCCAGGUGUAGCGGUGAAAUGCGUAGAUAUCUGGAGGAACACCGGUGGCGAAGGCGGCAUCCUGGACCGGCAUUGACGCUGAGGCGCGAAAGCCAGGGGAGCAAACGGG